rnacentral:rRNA from 1 species
AGCAGCCGCGGUAAUUCCAGCUCCAAUAGCGUAUAUUAAAGUUGUUGCAGUUAAAAAGCUCGUAGUUGAAUUUCGGGAUCAAUGCGUCGGUCGUGCCUUCGGUACGUACUAGCGUCAUUGAUUCCUCCCUUCUGAAGAACCGUGAUGUCAUUAAUUUGGUGUUACGGGGAAUCAGGACUGUUACCUUGAAAAAAUUAGAGUGUUUAAAGCAGGCUAACGCUUGAAUACAUUAGCAUGGAAUAAUGAAAUAGGACGUUCGAACCUAUUUUGUUGGUUUCUAGGAUCGACGUAAUGAUUAAUAGGGAUAGUUGGGGGCAUUAGUAUUCAAUUGUCAGAGGUGAAAUUCUUGGAUUUAUUGAAGACUAACUACUGCGAAAGCAUUUGCCAAGGAUGUUUUCAUUAAUCAAGAACGAAAGUUAGGGGAUCGAAGACGAUCAGAUACCGUCGUAGUCUUAACCAUAAACUAUGCCGACUAGGGAUCGGAUGAUGUUAAUUUUUUAAUGACUCAUUCGGCGCCUUA